CAGACCUUUAAUCGGAAAAGACUACCCGCUGAGUUUAA
rnacentral:rRNA from 1 species